GAUGAACGCUGGCGGCGUGCCUAAUACAUGCAAGUCGAGCGAACAGACGAGGAGCUUGCUCCUCUGGCGUUAGCGGCGGACGGGUGAGUAACACGUGGAUAACCUACCUAUAAGACUGGGAUAACUUCGGGAAAACGGAGCUAAUACCGGAUAAUAUAUUGAACCGCAUGGAUCAAUAGUGAAAGACGGUUUUGCUGUCAAUUAUAGAUGGAUCCGCGCCGCAUUAGCUAGUUGGUAAGGGAACGGCUUACCAAGGCAACGAUGCGUAGCCGACCUGAGAGCGUGAUCGGCCACACUGGAACUGAGACACGUCCCCGACUCCUACGGGAGGCAGCAGUAGGGAAUCUUCCGCAAUGGGCGAAAGCCUGACGGAGCAACGCCGCGUGAGUGCUGAAGGUCUUCGGCUCGUAAAACUCUGUUAUUCGGGAAGAACAAAUGUGUAAGUAACUAUGCACGUCUUGACGGUACCUAAUCAGAAAGCCACGGCUAACUACGUG
rnacentral:rRNA from 1 species